UGAGGAGAAAGGUCAAAGGCUUUCUCUGACCUUUCUCUCUUGUUCUAGUUUCAUUUUUAUUGCUGUAAUAAAAUAUAGUGACAAAAGGCAACCUAGGGCCUAAAAAGUUCAGUCUAGCUCACAGUUAUAGGUUGUAGUUUACCACGGAGAAGAAAUCUGGUGGCAGGUGCUUGAAGCAGCCAGUCACACCACAUCUGCAGUCAAGAGAGGAGAGAAAUGAAUGCUUGUACAACCUAGCACUCAGCUCAUGUGGUCGACUCCUACACAGCCCAGGAGCCAAACUGAGAAUGGCAUAACCCACGGUGGCUUCGGUCUUCCCACCCCAAUUAGCAUGAGUAAUAGAACAGAAGUACUGGAGAAAUGAACUCCAUUUCCAUCCCUUAGGAGGGACCCAACCUACAUCUGGGCACUCGGGUAGUGGAGCCUUUCUGUCCUUCUACACAGAGGCCUGGCACUAUGCCAUCAGUCCCCAGCCCUGCCUCACUGCACCUAAGAUUUAUGGGUCUUCGCAGUUGUGUGGUCAAUGUUUUUCCUGUAACUCCAUGUUUCCCCUGUAACUCAAAGGUGUGUGAAAUCCAUUAACUAACUACUGCAGUGUUAACUGAAGGAUCAUGUUAAUCCAUCUAUUUUGCAAACUGAUUAAAUGCUCAGUGUUGAGGAAUACCUAGUUCUUUUUAUGCAUGCUUAUAUGUGUAAUGUGUUUUCAUAACCAUGUGUAUGCAUGUUUGUGGGGGGGGGAGGUAAGCAUGCAUGUGUGUAUUCAUGUGGAGGACAGAGGUUGACACCAAGUGUUUUUCUUGACCAGUUUCCACUUAACAUUUUGAGGCAGGGUCUCUCCUUUGAACCCAGAGCUCACAGGUUUGAUAGUCUAUUAGGUAGCCUGCCCAGGGGAUCCUUUAUCUCUGCCUCCUAAGUACCUGGCAUUCACAUGGGUGCUGGGAAUCUGACCUCAGGUCCUAAAGUUUACUUGGCUAACCCACCAAGCUAUCUCUACAGCUCCUAUUUCAUCUAUACCUAUAUAUCUUUAGAAUAUUUAAAAAAUAAAAUGCAUAAUGGAGGAAAAGUAUUUUUUUCUUGUAUAAAACCCCCUGAUACACAUUUUCUGAAUUAAAAAAAAAAUAACACAAAGAACUUACUCCACUAAAAGUAAAUGUUACUUUUCUCAAAAAAUUUAAUUGCAGAACUAUUUACAGGUGAAUACUGGCAAUACAGACAUCAAAUGAAAGAGGUGUUAUCAUAGAAGAUCCUGGACAACAGUGUUUCCAUAGUCACCUAGAAGUGAAGAAAAGAAAAACUCACAGAAGAAAGAAAACUUAAAAAAGCAAUCUUUUAAAAAUGAUUUAAAUUAUUAAUGAGAAGGAAGAAACUGUUUUGGCAACGAGAAAUACAUCAGAUAGGAUACUGCAUGCUAGGAAGUCAGAGUUAUCAAAAGAACCCAAAAAAGCAUGAGUAAGAGAAGUACAUAAAAUAGUUUAGUUCUGGUGACUGUAACUGUACAGGCUUGAAUAUUUGGCACUCUGUUGAUCCUUGUCGUGGGUAUUACAUUAUAUGUUUGUUUGUUUAUUUAUUUAUUUGUUUAUUUAUUUAUUUAUUUAUUUAUUUAUAUAUUUAUAUACUUUUAACCUUUAACUAAAUUGCUAGUCUCCUGCUCUAGCAUUCCUUGAAUCCUAUAGGAGGCAUUAAACUCAGUCCUUAGGCCACGCCUGGGUAUUUUGGCACAUAGUAUGGAGGGUGGGUAGAGGGUUGUGUCUCUACAGUAGGGUACCUGGCCAGAGGUUAAGUGGCUUAUUGUUGGGAAAUAAGUAGCCCGGUUCUCGCUGCUCAUUAGGGGAAACCUUCCUGAAUGCAGCAAACCAACUGAAAAUGGAGGGAGGGUGACAAUUCUUGUGGAGCCCUUUGAAGGUGACCAAGUUUCUGAGACGGCUGGAGUUGGGUGGUAGUGGGGGACUAGGGGAUAUGGACGAGUGACUUCCUAAGGUCCCACAGUCGACCUUGGCUUCCAUCCGAGAGUCUGCAGAUGCGCAUUCAAGCCCUUCCAUGGAGACCACUGCUCAAAACAGAAACACACACUGGAAUCCUGCCACAACUUCCUCUGCGACAAUGUUUCCUUCCGCUUGCACCUGCACGUGGGAAGUCUUGGAGCCCAAGUCUUUCAAAUUCAGAAUAAGCACCAAUGAUUAAGAGUCUCCGAAAAUCUAAGAAAAUUGGGAGGUAAACUACUGUUACCUUGGUUUGUGUGUAUACAAAAUCUUUUAAAAAGUAGCAGUUUUGUAGGUAACUAAUACGUCCUCUGAAAAGGAGUCAACUGCCAGAUGUUGAGACAGAAACAAGGUAAUUUUUUUUUUUUUUUAACAUUAGAUCAAAACGCCAGAGUUAGGACAAAAACUCAUAACAUGGUGGUGUUUUUCAGUGUGGUGAGAAUGGAAAGGCUUCUUCUCAGAGUGUCUGUGUGCUCAUCUCUGCAGUGGGCAGGGGAAUGAUGGCAAAGCCUGGAACCCGGGAUGGAGCGACUUCGCUGAGUCCAUUCUGGUGCUCUUCACACACACGUCCCUCUGUUUCCCAGCAGGCACAGUCUUGCCAACCGGUCAGCCUGAGUCUCCCUGACACACGACUUGUCAGCUUCUGUUAAUGUGGAUAUCCUGGAGCUGUGGUCAGAGAGCCCUGAGCAAGCCCACAUCUGCUGCCAAAAAUCGUGGACCAAGGCUGAAUGUGAUGGUGCAUGUUUGUAAUCCCAGCACCCAGAAGAAAGAGGUGGGACAAUUGCAACAUUGAGGCUAGCCUGUACUAUCCACAGUGAGACUUUGUCUUUAAAAAAAUGUUUGGCCCAAACCAGACAGCUGUUUCUAAGGCAGGGAGUUCUAUGAUUGCUACAGGCACUUGGGCCGUGUGCCCAUGAUAUCACCGUAUUUCCAGAGAAAUCUCAUCCUGGGGUCCUGGGUUUGGGGUGUGUAGUGAACACACGGAGGAAGCAAACUGAAGUUAGGGUGGUAGAAACAGUACUUGCUCAACAUGCUAACAAAAGGCAGAAAGCAAAAUGGGGUGAACUGGGACAGUCACCCCAAGAAUCAGGAGCCAUCGUAUGAGCUGCGUACCUUUUGUGUUAUUCUACUCAGAACUUGGGCAUUUCCAUAAAGGCUGGUUGGAAGACCACCUCUAUUUUGCAGCUUAUUGUUUCGUGUAAGUUUUUGAGGCAGUCUUAGAUAUAAUUUGUAUUUUUUCUAAGUAUUUGCUUUCUAUUGAAUAGUUGAAGUCUUACAGUGUGGCUUAAAGUUAAAAAUGUGGGCAUUUCCUUUUCAACAACAAGGUGAUUUCUGGGCAUAAAACAAGUUGGCUCCUUUCUACAUCAUACUAGAUUGGGUGAUAAAGACGUGGGAACAAUAAAUUCUGGUGACAACUAUCUUCACAGCAGGAACAAGUAGAGAUGCCCAGAAAAGUGCAGGGAAGAGAAUCUUCUUUCUCAGCCACUUUCCUCCCCCUGGUCUUGCUCUCCAGCUACGCUUGCUUCCCCACUGCUCUCACAGCUCGGCACAGCAGGGUCCACAUCGGCCCGAUGUUGAGAGGAAGGGAUUCUGAACUGAUGAUGCUCAAGUCUCUCCAGCGGUUGGUGGCAUCUCUGGGAACACAGGUGUGCCGCUACAGAUAACAGCUCCAUGCCAUGGCCAUGUCCUUGUGUCAGUUUUUUGAAGGAGAACUCCACACCAUGAACCUCCUGAGAGCGACUGAAAUAACGGAGAACAGCACGCACACUGUUUGCCUCUGCUUGGAUGAUGCAAUGUAAACAUGGCUUAUCUUCUUGUUCCACAACAGAGUGUCACCUGCAUGAGAACUGAAGGUAUUGCACUUGCAAGGGGGACACGAACAGCUGACACUCCAUUAGAGCUAGCAGCAGGCAUCUGUUCGGCCAUUAAACAAUACUCUUUGGAACCUAGUGAACCAGAUAAGGACACAUUUUUCACUGUAACUCAGGGAAGGGAGAUUUGCUCAGCAAGGGGGCGUUUAAGCCAAGACUAUGGACAAUACUGGAUGAAAAAAUGAAUAUGGAUGACAUAAGUAAUCAGAAUCUAGUGGAUAUUUUGUUCAAGUUGGGUCUAUAGAAUUUGGGGUUUGAGACAAAAAAUGAUUGUCUAACGUUACAAUUUGCUUCGGCGUAUGUUGUAUACAUUUGAGGAAAUGAUAGAAAAGUCUGCCAGGUGUCCUCAUGGGUGUGGGAAGCAGGGACAUUUGCUUUCUGCAUUUCCUUCAGCUAUGGGGUGGGCAGUCAGUUCUGCUUACCUCUGAUUACUUCUAAAUGGUAAUUAUAGGAUACAUUGCUUUUAAAGUCUGAAAUACCAGUGCUUACAACAUACUUUUUUUUUUUUUUAACACAGUGGCAUUGAGUACAGGAGUAAGCAUCAUUAUUGUACACUAUUCAGGAUUUACAUUAUUUAUUUAGAUAGAAAAUGAUUUGAACACUCUGGGGAAACAGGGUUUAGUGAUAGAAGAAUAUUUUGGGGGUUAUUAUUUUUUGCAUCUUUUAAAGGGUAUACAUUCGUAUGAUUUUUGCUUCCCAAUAUAUUUUAAGGCUGUUUGGUAAAAUAUAUACCAGAUACAAGGCUCAAUUUAUAGGGUUUUGCUAUUAAAGGGAGUUCUUAACUACUCGGCUUUUUAAAAAAGUAAAACUUUGAGGCUUGACAUGCUGUAUCAUCGACCGUGCCCCCCAUGCGUAGUGGAAUGUAGAGGAUGAGGAAGAGGCUGGAGGCGUCUCAGCAACGCCAGAGCUGCAAGGCUGCCUCGCCGGGAACCCACAUGGUGACCGGAGAUGUAGCCAGGCUGCCGAGGGGCCUCGGGGGACGGUCUAAAGUGCGAGUCACAGGGAGAACACAGAGCUACAGAGCUGUGGAAGGCUUUCCGCCUACGGCUAAGCACGCGUGCUCCUUAAAGCAGUGAGAGGGGCGACCUGGGAUGCGCGGGAGCCUGCGCUCGCAGAACCCAGAACUCUGAGAUCGGGGCCAAGGGGAUCUGCUCAUUCUCCGUGCCAUCUGAACUUCCAUGCAGAGGUUGGGUUACAAAGAGACCAUCUGUGUGUUUAAAUACCAUUUACACAAAGCCUGUUCAUCAGAGCCAAUCUUUUCCCCCUCGGCACCCUCUGAGUCAUGAAGCACUGAUUACCUUUCUUAAAAUCUAUAGUUGGAAAUCACCAUGCGUGAUCUCUCACUCUCUUUCUCUCCUUCUCAUAUCUAACACAGGCAAGAAACAGAUUCUUAACUUCAGCAGUACUGCAUAGGACAAAAGAAUUCUGGAAAAAUACAAGUAUAAACUAACUUUUCUUCUUUACCAUUUUAACUGAUAUACUUACCACUCACAUUCAUAUGUCUUACAUGGUUUACAACAUCGCCAUUGUCAUCUUAAACAAGCAAACUCCUUUAAAGGUACCCUGGGAAGUCGAGUGAUAGCAGUUUGAGAACAUUAUGUAACAUAUAUAAAAAGCACAUGUAGCGUGAGCAGUGAGGUUUAACAAAAAGCUCUGUGUAGUGGUUUAAGUUACCAAGGGAUAAAAAUACUAUGACCAUUUCUUAGUUUUUUUUUUUUUUGUUUUGUUUGUUUGUUUUGUUUUUUCUUCCUCUUUGUAUUCUCUGGGCUCCUACCAGUCCUUUCCAUGGGUCCCUCUCUUAGAGGAAUGUUCAGUUAGCUUUGAAUGUGAACAUUCCAUGCUAGAUUUUUUUGGGGGAGGGGGUAGGGUGGGGACAUCCAGCCUUGUCAUUUCCUUUUGGAGAACCACAUGGUGGGGACGUUGGAGAGACCCCUUUCUGUCAUCACGAAUGUCAACCAAGGAUCUGAGCACUUCCUGGGGCGGCAGGACUGGUGAGGACAGCAAGGACAAGGGGCAGCUCGGCUGGGGAGAGCAGCUCGGGUGAUGGGGAACAGGUCUGGCUGUCUUUCCUGCCUUUCGAGUUGUAGCACCUUCCACUUGGAUGUCUAAUGCCUCUCAAGAGUGGGGAGAUGCACCCGUUUGUAGUGACCUCUGGUUAUCACACAAUUUAUAAAAAUAGAAAUAACAAAGACAAAGCGAGGGUCCAUCUCAAGAGGUCACUGGGCGGCCCUCUGCCAACAGGGAGGUAAGUCGGGGCUCACCAAGCCUGCUCCUCAGAGCCGACGUCCUUCAGAGUCAAUCUUGCCAUGAGCUCAGCGAACUAGGAAUCCGAGCGUCCACUGUCUACAGUGCGGAGAACACGGCAAGGGCGAAUCCGGUGGAGGGUGAGAGAGAAGCUACCAGGUAGGCAAUAAACUGUACAAGCAUUUUGUGAAAAAGAACGAAGCCAGG